CCCAACGGGGACGAGCGGCCGGGCCGGAGAGCCGCCCGAGGAUACUGAGCGAGGAUACUGAGAACGCCUUGCUGGGCAUGCCGGGUAAUCACCCUGCCCUGUGCUAACCCCCCAGGACUCUGGGACGCCGGCCUAUUUUCCAGCCAUAAAAGUGUGGACUCAGGGCUGGGCUGCAUGCUAACCCAGACGGUCUGCCAACGCGCCGCCUUGCUCCGCAGCCCUGCAUUUCUAACCAGUGAGGGUCUGGUCUAAAAGUGACUUCGGUCAUUUUCCAAUGCGUGGAGCUCUCGUUUGACCUACCCAUGGGCCGAGGAGAGCCAUCGAGGGGGGAAAAAGAAAUCUCCUAACAGGGCUUUGAAGCCAAGCAAUCUGCUCCCCAAGUGCAGAAGUCUGACCGUGACAACUGUCGUGAACAGCCACGAGGGUAGCCAUCGCAAGAUUGCAAAGAAUCAGUGGAAAUUGGUUGUGCAGUAAGGCCUGGGCCAACACUCCCCCACCUUCUGUGUCCAACCUCAGCAAUCAGCACGGGGGCCAAGAGCCAGCAGCCCCCUCGGGAGCAGCCUGGUGGCAUCACCGCAGAACAUCAGGACUGAAUCAGGACACUGCUUUCUGUUCGAGAGCCAACAGCCAGGGCUGCUCUUCUGUGGAACGUGCCGGGCAGACACUCGGAAAGAGCGGUGGCCCGUCUGGUUCUGCAGUCUGCACCAUCCGUUCAAGCAGCCCAGCCGUGUACAGGCACGCACCACGUUUCCACAUCCCAUUGGCUCUCAGAAGCAGGGACCACUCCACCCCCCCAGUGCACACAUUCCACCACUCACAGCCAGACUCAGGACACCCCACUAACACACCCCACUAAGCAGCGGAACAGACUUGAAGAAAACCCAACAGUCGUGGCGUGACAGUGGCCGGCAACGCUGCACCUCACAUGCCAUGCCUUCUACUAAACUGGGUUAACUAAACCCGUGUCCUUCAGAGCCAGGGCAGGCUCAUCCUGAGCAAGGAUGGAGAGGGC